rnacentral:rRNA from 1 species
AUACGGAGGGUCCGAGCGUUAUCCGGAUUUAUUGGGUUUAAAGGGUGCGUAGGCGGUUUUAUAAGUCAGCGGUGAAAUUCUCCGGCUCAACCGGGGGACUGCCGUUGAUACUGUAAGGCUAGGAUAUGGUUGCUGUGGGUGGAAUGUGUGGUGUAGCGGUGAAAUGCUUAGAGAUCACACAGAAUAUCGAUUGCGAAGGCAGCUCACAAAGCCAUCAUUGACGCUGAGGCACGAAAGUGUGGGGAUCAAACAGGAUUAGAUACCCUGGUAGUCCACACUGUAAACGAUGAUAACUCGCUGUAGGCGAUAUAAAGUCGGUGGCCAAGCGAAAGCGAUAAGUUAUCCACCUGGGGAGUACGACCGCAAGGUUGAA